rnacentral:misc_RNA from 1 species
UAAUAAUAUUUCUUCGUCUCAUCUCACAAACCCCACUCAAGAGAUAGAGCUUGAAAUCUAGAGAGCAAAUCAACCAUGGCUUGCUCUUGGCCACCCACCACAAUGCUUCUGCUCAUUUUCCUUUUUCCAGCAUUGGUUGAGUCUGCUGUUCGUCAUUAUAAUUUCACAGUGGUGAUGAAGAACACAACCAAGCUAUGUUCAAGUAAGUCUAUAGUCACCAUCAAUGGAAAGUUUCCAGGGCCAACUCUUUUUGCGAGGGAAGACGAUAAUGUCAAUGUUAAGGUCGUCAACAACGUUCGAUACAAUGUCACCAUUCACUGGCAUGGGGUGAGGCAGCUACGGACGGGCUGGUCAGAUGGGCCUGCGUAUAUUACACAAUGCCCAAUACAGCCUGGGCAAAGUUAUGUCUACAAUUUCACACUUACAGGCCAGAGAGGUACUCUUCUUUGGCACGCACAUAUUUCUUGGCUAAGGGCAACAAUACAUGGUGCUAUUGUCAUCUGGCCGAAGAAAGGUGUUCCUUACCCAUUUCCAAAACCUCACAAGGAAAAACUCAUCAUAUUAAGUGAAUGGUGGAAAGCAGAUACUGAAGCAGUGAUCAAUCAGGCUAUGCAAACUGGUUUGCCACCCAAUAUAUCAGAUUCUCACACUAUUAAUGGCCAUCCAGGACCAGUUCCUGGUUGUAUUUCUCAGGGGUACACCUUACAUGUUGAACCUGGCAAGACGUACCUGAUACGCCUUGUGAAUGCAGCAGUAAACGAUGAGCUAUUCUUCAAAAUUGCAACCCAUAAUCUUACAAUUGUUGAAGUUGAUGCAUCUUACACAAAACACUUCACCACAGAUUCAAUAUUCCUAGGUCCAGGCCAGACCACAAAUGCACUAUUAACCACAGACCAGACCACUGGCAAGUACUUAAUAGCUGUUUCUCCUUUCAUGGACACCGUAGUAGCAGUUGAUAACCUUACAGCAAUCUCUUUCUUGCGAUACAAGGAUACCGUGGCAUUUUCCCCACCUGUCCUGACAACCACUCCUGCCAUAAACGCAACAGCAGCAACAUUAAAAUUUAUGGACAAUCUUCGAAGCCUGAACUCGAAGAAGUACCCUGCCAACGUCCCAUUGACAGUAGAUCAUUCACUGUACUUCACUAUUGGAGUAGGAAUCAACCCUUGCCCAACCUGUGUUAAUGGCAGCAGGUCUGCGGGAGAUAUUAACAAUGUUAGCUUUGUGAUGCCAAGUACAGCUCUUCUCCAAGCACAUUACCAUAACAUUAGUGGAAUUUUCACAGAUGAUUUUCCAGGGAAUCCACCAAUCCCUUUUAACUAUACUGGCAAUUUUACUGGUGGGAUUGCAACUUCAAAUGGAACUAGGCUUUAUAGGCUGGCUUUUAAUACUACAGUUCAGGUUGUAUUACAAGGAACUGGAAUUAUAGCACCUGAAAGCCAUCCAGUUCAUUUGCAUGGGUUUAAUUUCUUUGCUAUUGCCAAAGGUGUAGGGAAUUUCGAUCCAAAGAAUGAUCCAAAGAAAUUUAAUCUGGUUGAUCCUGUGGAAAGGAACACUUUUAGUGUUCCUACUGGAGGAUGGACUGCAAUCAGAUUCAGGGCAGACAAUCCAGGUGUUUGGUUUCUGCAUUGCCAUUUGGAAGUACACACCUCAUGGGGACUAAAGAUGGCAUUUGUGGUGGAUAAUGGUAAAGGUCCAAACGAGUCACUCCCACCACCUCCAAGUGACCUUCCAAAGUGCUAGAAAUAAAUGAAGCUGCUUCGAAACAAAGCAUAUAAGACUAGGCAUAUUGAUGAGAGGGAUAGUAGAGGCUGAAAUUCACAAAACAAUAUUUAAAAAAGCUAAUAAACAGCAGAGAAAAUUUAGUUUUUUUGUUUUUUUUAAUUUAAGAAGGUGCUCGAAAUGAGUGAAUAAAAUUGCAGAAGAUAGUCAUGUUUUACCAUUUUAAAUUUCCUUUCUCGAGUGGAAAUUGUUUGAUACUCAGAGUAGUGCACUUGAGGGAUAUACUUACUUCUAUGCUUGUAAUGGUUUCUUUCUUUCUUUUCAAUUGUAAAGUGUGAAAAAAUCAUUAGCAUUAAUAAUUCAUUUGUCCAAAU